rnacentral:misc_RNA from 1 species
GGACUCCUCGCUCCCCUACCUGGCCAGCAUAAAGUAUUCGUAGCCUCAAGAUACAGUAAAAGGUGCAAUUAUGUUUACCCAAAACAUGAAUUCUCUCCGUUUUUUUUUUUCUCACAAAAAUCAAGGUCAGAAUUACUGAAGUGGUGAAGCAUCAAAUGAAAAUAUUUACAUGACUUAUCAUAGUGAAAUAAUAUUUGCUCUAAUUUUUCUUACAUAU